rnacentral:sRNA from 1 species
CAACAUUUGGCCAAGCAUUGGUAUUGAGUGACGUGACGGCGCAGCAAAAAAAAAGCUUUUGAUGCCCUUGAAGGAGAGGGUAUGAUGGUUAACCACCAUUGGAGUGAUAUUUUCUGCUUGCCCUUAACCGUUGCUGAUUGGAACAUAUUGAGGCCAGAAACAAGCUAAAAUAUUCCUCGAUGGA